AUCCGGUUGACGAGUCCCAAAUGGGACGGAAUGCAUGUCUUGGAU
rnacentral:hammerhead_ribozyme from 1 species